rnacentral:rRNA from 1 species
UACGAAGGGGGCUAGCGUUGUUCGGAAUUACUGGGCGUAAAGCGCACGUAGGCGGAUCGAUCAGUCAGGGGUGAAAUCCCAGGGCUCAACCCUGGAACUGCCUUUGAUACUGUCGAUCUGGAGUAUGGAAGAGGUGAGUGGAAUUCCGAGUGUAGAGGUGAAAUUCGUAGAUAUUCGGAGGAACACCAGUGGCGAAGGCGGCUCACUGGUCCAUUACUGACGCUGAGGUGCGAAAGCGUGGGAGCAAACAGG